rnacentral:tRNA from 3 species
UGCCGUGUCGUCUAACGGUAGGACGCUUGACUCUGAAUCAAGUAGUUGGGGUUCGAAUCCCUGCACGGCAGCCA